GGGAAAUGUAAUGAAUUUGGUAUUGGACAGCUGGAUUUGAAAUGUCUCUGGAAAGAAUUGUCAGAGAUAUUGUGUAGCAUUUGCAUAUAAGAAAAUGAAUAAUUUCUGAAUUCCUGUUGUAGGAGGUGAAAACGGAAAACACAAAGUGAUGGAGGCUUUCCAGCAAGCGGGUAUGGCGUGGAAGCCUGGGGCACACCAACCCAUGAGGCUAGUCAAAGGAAGUGAAGAAGGGAAGACCGCAACAAGGGCAGGAGACAGGAGUCACAAGUACAUUUCCUGGAAUCCAAGGCCUACGUUGGAAUUCCUCAGGAGGUUUAUCUCAAAGCCAGAGAAAGACUUAUCUGGGAACAUAAAACUACAUGGAAGAAGAAAAGGACUUUUAAAUAUUUUAAACUUAACAUUUAAAAAUUUUCAUAAGACUCCAGUCAAACCCAAAGUCAAUCUUCUGAAGCAGACUCUACUUGACCCCGGAGGAUGCAACUGACCAGAGGCUAGUAAGCUUGCUAAAUUAUUAUGGAUAACAGGGAUGUAUGGUGACAAGAAUUUACAUAUGAACGAAAUGUGAACAGUCGGCUUAAUUUCCCUC
rnacentral:lncRNA from 1 species